UACGUAGGGGGCAAGCGUUGUCCGGAUUCAUUGGGCGUAAAGAGCGUGUAGGCGGCCAGGUAGGUCGGUUGUGAAAACUGGAGGCUCAACCUUCAGAGGUCGACCGAAACCAUCUGGCUAGAGUCCGGGAGAGGAGAGUGGAAUUCCUGGUGUAGCGGUGAAAUGCGCAGAUAUCAGGAGGAACACCGGUGGCGAAGGCGGUUCUCUGGGCAUUACCUGACGCUGAGGAGCGAAAGUGUGGGGAGCGAACAGG
rnacentral:rRNA from 1 species